GCGACCCCAGGUCAGGCGGGAUUCACCCGGU
rnacentral:rRNA from 1 species